AAUCCAGAGAUGGAUUUGUGCCUUCGGGAACUGUGAGACAGGUGCUGCAUGGCUGUCGUCAGCUCGUGUUGUGAAAUGUUGGGUUAAGUCCCGCAACGAGCGCAACCCUUAUCCUUUGUUGCCAGCGGUUAGGCCGGGAACUCAAAGGAGACUGCCAGUGAUAAACUGGAGGAAGGUGGGGAUGACGUCAAGUCAUCAUGGCCCUUACGACCAGGGCUACACACGUGCUACAAUGGCGCAUACAAAGAGAAGCGACCUCGCGAGAGCAAGCGGACCUCAUAAAGUGCGUCGUAGUCCGGAUUGGAGUCUGCAACUCGACUCCAUGAAGUCGGAAUCGCUAGUAAUCGUGGAUCAGAAUGCCACGGUGAAUACGUUCCCGGGCCUUGUACACACCGCCCGUCACACCAUGGGAGUGGGUUGCAAAAGAAGUAGGUAGCUUAACCUUCGGGAGGGCGCUUACCACUUUGUGAUUCAUGACUGGGGUGAAGUCGUAACAAGGUAACCGUAGGGGAACCUGCGGUUGGAUCACCUCCUUACCUUAAAGAAGC
rnacentral:rRNA from 6 species